AGCAGUGUGGCUCAGUGGAAAGAGCACGGGCUUGGGAGUCAGAGGUAAUGGGUUCAAAUCCCAGCUCCGCCG
rnacentral:tRNA from 1 species